UACGGGGGGGGCAAGCGUUGUUCGGAAUUACUGGGCGUAAAGGGCGCGUAGGCGGUCUGCUAAGUUGGAUGUGAAAACUCUGGGCUUAACCCAGAGCCUGCAUUCAAUACUGACAGGCUAGAGUUCUGGAGGGGAUAGCGGAAUUCCACGUGUAGCAGUGAAAUGCGUAGAGAUGUGGAGGAAUACCGAUGGCGAAGGCAGCCUCCUGGGCCAACACUGACGCUCAUGCACGAAAGCGUGGGGAGCAAACAGG
rnacentral:rRNA from 1 species